AAUCCAUAGGUUAAUGAGGCGAACCGGGGGAACUGAAACAUCUAAGUACCCCGAGGAAAAGAAAUCAACCGAGAUUCCCCCAGUAGCGGCGAGCGAACGGGGAGGAGCCCAGAGCCUGAAUCAGCAUGUGUGUUAGUGGAAGCGUCUGGAAAGGCGCGCGAUACAGGGUGACAGCCCCGUACACAAAAGCGCAUGUGCUGUGAGCUCGAUGAGUAGGGCGGGACACGUGGUAUCCUGUCUGAAUAUGGGGGGACCAUCCUCCAAGGCUAAAUACUCCUGACUGACCGAUAGUGAACCAGUACCGUGAGGGAAAGGCGAAAAGAACCCCGGCGAGGGGAGUGAAAAAGAACCUGAAACCGUGUACGUACAAGCAGUGGGAGCACCCUUUGGGGUGUGACUGCGUACCUUUUGUAUAAUGGGUCAGCGACUUAUAUUCUGUAGCAAGGUUAACCGUAUAGGGGAGCCGUAGGGAAACCGAGUCUUAACCGGGCGUUAAGUUGCAGGGUA
rnacentral:rRNA from 1 species